GUCGGGAGUCUUGCACAAUGGGGGAAACCCUGAUGCAGCGACGUCGCGUGUGGGAUGAAGUAUUUCGGUAUGUAAACCACUUUUGCGGGGGGCGAAAAAAAUGACGGUACCCCGCGAAUAAGCCCCGGCUAACUACGUGCCAGCAGCCGCGGUAAUACGUAGGGGGCGAGCGUUGCUCGGAUUGACUGGGCGUAAAGCGCGCGUAGGCGGUCCAGUAAGUGUGCGGUGAAAUUCAGAGGCUCAACCUCUGUCCCGCCGCGCAAACUGGUGGUCUUGAGAUUGGGAGGGGGAUGCGGAAUUCCUGGUGUAGCGGUGAAAUGCAUUGAUAUCAGGAGGAACACCGGCGGCGAAAGCGGCAUCCUGGCUUAUAUCUGACGCUGAGGCGCGAAAGCGUGGGUAGCAAACGGGAUUAGAAACCCCUGUAGUCC
rnacentral:rRNA from 1 species